rnacentral:rRNA from 1 species
CAAUAGCGUAUAUUAAAGUUGUUGCAGUUAAAAAGCUCGUAGUUGGAUUUCUGGUGAGAUGGAUUAUGUCUAGGUCGAAAGAUCUUGUUCAUGGUUCGUUUUGCCCUUCUUGUCAGGAACCCGCUGAGAUUCGCGUCUUGUCGGUGGAAUGGCAUCGUUUACUGUGAAAAAAUUAGAGUGUUCAAAGCAGGCAUCGCCGUUGAAUACAUUAGCAUGGAAUAAUAAGAUAAGACUUUGGUGGUCUAUUUUGUUGGUUUGCACGCCAAAGUAAUGAUUAAUAGGGAUAGUUGGGGGUAUUCGUAUUCCAUUGCUAGAGGUGAAAUUCUUAAAUUUAUGGAAGACGAACUACUGCGAAAGCAUUUACCAAGGAUGUUUUCAUUAA